AGGAUUAUGAUGCUCUCGAAGAAACUAACGACCAUGAAUGAAGUUAUGUCAUGCGACCCUUCUUACCUUGGAAAGGUUGGGAGGGAGCGGAAGAGAUUUAAUUUUGAUGAUUUUGACACUAUUCCUUCUAAAUUCAACAUAUGAGGAAGGAGAGAUUGAAAAACAUGGCUCUUGACGCUUGAUGGAGAGAAGUAUUUCAUGUCGUUGGGUAAUGCCAGAGACAUUGGAGGGGAUUUGGAGUUUUGGGCUUUUGUUGCCUAAGAAAAGAAUGGAAGCGUUUGCUGCUAUAUUUGAAAAUGGUCUCAUCAAAUAAUGAGCUGAAUGUGUGUUUUA